rnacentral:lncRNA from 1 species
UGCGCCCGAGGGCACCAGGGCCGAGGCUGGCGGAACAGGACCAUCUCAGUGCAGAACACUGUGGAGUUCCAGAUUGUCUUUGAAGUGACCAAUGGCGUGUGGCCUGCCGGGGGGACCGUCGCCCUGGAUGAUAUCACGUACCACGCUGGACAGGGCUGUGAUGGCGACGGUUUGGGCCAAAUGGAAGAUGGGAACCCUGCCCAAGGCUCUGUGGCAGCAAUGGUGAUUGGCAUUCUCCUGGCCACUGUAUUCCUGCUCCUGCUAGCUUUGAGCACAUGCUACUGGCUGAAGAGGAGGGUGUCAGCGGGCAGGAUGCCGGAGGAGAGAGCCACCAGCCAAGGCUUUGACAACGUCGCUUUUAGAGAUGACAGGGUCACUAUAACUCCACUACCUGCAGAUGGGGAAGCAGAACCAGAUGUGAGCCUCCCAUAAUAGGCACCUGUUUGUACUGUAGCUGCACAUACAGAAUGAAACGUGGAUUCUGCAAGGCCUCACACUCCUCCAGCAACAUUGGGCUCAACUUUCAUUUCCAAGCCUACCCUUGAAACUGUUUUGCCUAUUGACUAAAACGGAAGCUUUGGUUGAGACAAACAAGGUCAGCUGGAAAGAGGAAUACAAGCCCCUUUUUGAACUUUUUGAGUAUGAACAGAUUCUGUGUAACUGAAUUUCCUGGAGCACGUUCAAGAGAGUCCAUCAGUACUGUCAUAUUCUUGCAGUUUCCCAUAUAGUAUUGCCCUUUCCAUAUGAAGUUCUGUCCCCUUGAUUUUAUCUAAAAUAAAAUGAAUUCUAUAAAAGUCA